CUCGUAGGCGGUUCGUCGCGUCCGGUGUGAAAGUCCAUCGCUUAACGGUGGAUCUGCGCCGGGUACGGGCGGGCUGGAGUGCGGUAGGGGAGACUGGAAUUCCCGGUGUAACGGUGGAAUGUGUAGAUAUCAAGAGGAACACCGAUGGCGAAGGCAGCUCUCUGGUCCGUUUCUGACGCUGAGGUGCGAAAGCUAGGGUAGCGAACG
rnacentral:rRNA from 1 species